ensembl:misc_RNA Y_RNA Y RNA
GGUUGGUCUGAGUGCAGUGGUGGUUACAACUAAUUGAUCACAGCCAGUUACAGAUUUCUUUGUUCCUUCUCCACUCCCACUGUUUGACUUUUAACCAGCCUUAA